AUGGCAAAGUUACUAAAAAAUUUUUCCAUCUGUAUAUGGUCGUAAAAUAAUUGUUAUUGAUCUACAUUUUGUGUUCACUCAAUUUUUAUCGGGACAUGUAAAAUUCAAUGUUUACCUGCAUUGGCUAAAUUGGCUAUCGUUAUAAGACGUCUUGUUUUUGUGGUAAUACUGCUCAAAGUUCUAUUCAUCUGAUUUGUUUAUUUGUGCGGAACGAACUUUAAUUGAAAAUCAAUGUGAUGUAAAUCUACAAGAUCGACAUGAAGAGAAUUUAUGUAUUUGGCUAUAAUUCUUUAAAUAUGAUUUUAAAAAUUUAUAAUUUAUUUUCUUCCCCCCAUUUUUGAGGUAUAGGGGUUUUUAUUGAAUAAAUAAAUAAAUAGCUCGACUUUGAAUGAAAUAACUGUCCAUCAAUCAAUUAAUCCUGACAAAUUGACACCAAUUUAUCAAACAGUGGCGAAAAUUCUUUUGCUCAAAUCACUAAUCAUCAACAUGUGAUAAAGAACAAUUUUUACGUUCCAUUGAAAUUACAUAAUUUUUUUCAUCAAUUAUGCAUCUGAUAUGAUAAUAUCUAUCAUAUCAUGAGUGGAUUUUUUUAUUCAUUUUUCAUGCUAAGUCUACAGCAAAAAUAAUGCAUUCAUUUUGCCGCCAAAAAUUUCAACUCAAAGUACAACUAAUGGGCAACUGCGCAUAGUCAAAUAGUGGUAGUGCAGCUAACUAUUUUCAAUGCAAAUGUCGCGCGCUUCUUUUCCCCUUCUAUUCUCCAUACAAAUUUGAAUUUGAUCGUUGGAAAAUCGAACAUUCGAACUCAACGGUCGUCGAAGACGGUUGUCCUCACUUCGAGCUAUUUUUCGUGAUCAUGUCGUGAUAUUUUUUCAUUUUUUUCUAUUUUAAUCGUGGAUUUUUGCAGUAAAUUUUGGAACAAAGAAAUUAAUCGAUUCAAGAUUAUCGUUGUUAAAACAUAUUGCGGUCUAAGAUCAAAAAUUGGCCCCGAAAUCGAUGAAGAUCGUUUGGUUCGGUCAUCAUGUAAUUAUGAUUCAAGUUGGCGAACAAAUCCCAUUUUCGGUGACUUUCAAAUUUUUCUUUUUUCAGAGUCCAUUAUUAUAAUUGAUGUAUGAUAAUUGGAAUUCGGAUUAAUAUAUGAAAACAUGGUCAAUGAGCAUAAAAUUUUCAUUGAUGAUCAAUGAUCAUUAGACAUAUAAUUGGUGCCGUCUUUAGAAAAACGAUCAUGGUAAUGAUGCCGAGCAUUACAAAUUUAUUGGUGGAUAUCUGGUCACUAACAUGGUACGAUGUCCAACGAAACAUUAUGUUCGUCAUCAGUCUAUUCAGAACAUGCCUGCAUUGAAUUGUCGGAACAACUUAUUCGGUUCGUUCCUGAAAUUUUACAAUCAUCAAAUUGAAAUUCGAUUGAUGAUUAUGUUCGAGAUCAAUUCGGUGGUUCCAUUGUUCAUCAGCAUCCAAUUCAAGAAUAGUUUGACCAUGUUCAACACAUGAUAUCAGAUUAGGCUAGGGUUAGAUUAGGCUUAGGAACAUGGUCUGAAUUAUUUCCUAUUGAAUUUGAUGCUGAUUGAAUCUUUGGAAUCAAUGAAGCGAUCGAAAACAUGAUUAUAAGUCGAAGAUUCAUGGGAUGGAACACAUACUUGAAAAUGAUCAUGGAUCGCAGGCGAACAAUUGGGAAAUUGAAUCUCGAACCACGGAUAGAAUUUGGACAUUGUCUUGGAACAUGGACCGCGAUUAUGGAUUUAUUUAUGUCAAACGGGACAAUUAACGUUUUAUGGCGCAAUUUGGAUGUGAAAUAUGGAUGUAUUUUAUUAUUUAAAAUUUUUAAUGAAUUAAUAUUUCAAUAAAAUCAAUUAAAUUUCAA